rnacentral:rRNA from 1 species
GACGAACGCUGGCGGCGUGCCUAAUACAUGCAAGUAGAACGCAGUUGCGAACGGGUGAGUAACGCGUAGGUAACUGCCUCAUAGCGGGGGAUAACUAUUGGAAACGAUAGCUAAUACCGCAUACUGUGAGAUGGACCUGCGUUGUAUUAGCUAGUUGGUGAGGUAAAGGCUCACCAAGGCGACGAUACAUAGCCGGGCUGAGAGGGUGAACGGCCACAAUUGGACUGGGGAACGGCCCAGGCUCCUACGGGGAGCAGCCGGAGGGAAACAUCGGAAAAGGAGGGAAGUCUGACCGCGCAACGGCGCGUGAGUGGAAGAGGUUUUCGGGUCGUAAAGCUCUGUUAUGAGAGAAGCGUUAACUACCCAGAAAGCGACGGCUAACUACGUGCCAGCAGCCGCGGUAAUUC